UACACUCCUGCGGGAGGCAACAGUGGGGAAUAUUGGCCAAUGGGCGCAAGCCUGAUCCAGCCAUGCCGCGUGAGUGAUGAAGGCCCUAGGGUUGUAAAGCUCUUUCACCGGUGAAGAUAAUGACGGUAACCGGAGAAGAAGCCCCGGCUAACUUCGUGCCAGCAGCCGCGGUAAUACGAAGGGGGCUAGCGUUGUUCGGAUUUACUGGGCGUAAAGCGCACGUAGGCGGACUAUUAAGUCAGGGGUGAAAUCCCGGGGCUCAACCCCGGAACUGCCUUUGAUACUGGUAGUCUUGAGUUCGAGAGAGGUGAGUGGAAUUCCGAGUGUAGAGGUGAAAUUCGUAGAUAUUCGGAGGAACACCAGUGGCGAAGGCGGCUCACUGGCUCGAUACUGACGCUGAGGUGCGAAAGCGUGGGGAGCAAACAGGAUUAGAAACCCCUGUAGUCCCAUG
rnacentral:rRNA from 1 species